UGUCGUGUAGAAUACAACAAUACAACUGUGAGUUUAAAUACAAAUAUUAUCUUCUAGACAAUAUACACACCCAAAUAAGUCCUCAUUAAUUAUUCAUAAACUAUUUUACAGAAAUAGUGAGGACAGCUAAAACAUCUUCCUAGAACCAUCACUCCAUACCCCGACUCGAUCCUGCUAUGUUCUCACCUCCUGAGAAGAAAAAUGGAACAAAAAGGAAAAGGGUGAGCUCAACUAGCCCAGUAAAGAAUAUUAUGACUAAGAUAAUAUACAACAAAUUAUCGUUAGUCUUCAACAGGGAAAAAUCUAAUAGAAUACAAUAGACAACAAGUUUUAGAUCAACAAAUGCAGCGGAAACAGCAAUCCAUUAGAAGAGUCACGUAGAGAAAGAAUUCUACUGUCUUCUAAGGUUUAAAA
rnacentral:lncRNA from 1 species